rnacentral:rRNA from 1 species
GAUGAACGCUGGCGGCGUGCCUAAUACAUGCAAGUCGAGCGAACAGAUAAGGAGCUUGCUCCUUUGACGUUAGCGGCGGACGGGUGAGUAACACGUGGGUAACCUACCUAUAAGACUGGAAUAACUCCGGGAAACCGGGGCUAAUGCCGGAUAACAUGUUGAACCGCAUGGUUCUACAGUGAAAGGCGGCUUUGCUGUCACUUAUAGAUGGACCCGCGCCGUAUUAGCUAGUUGGUGAGGUAACGGCUCACCAAGGCAACGAUACGUAGCCGACCUGAGAGGGUGAUCGGCCACACUGGAACUGAGACACGGUCCAGUCUCCUACGGGAGGCAGCAGUAGGGAAUCUUCCGCAAUGGGCGAAAGCCUGACGGAGCAACGCCGCGUGAGUGAUGAAGGUCUUCGGAUCGUAAAACUCUGUUAUUAGGGAAGAACAAAUGCGUAAGUAACUGUGCGCGUCUUGACGGUACCUAAUCAGAAAGCCACGGCUAACUACGUG